rnacentral:lncRNA from 1 species
UCCAUUAAGGAGUUUCCCAACCGAGUUUAGGGAAUAGAUACAAACUACAAAGCAUACCAUUAAAGAGCAAUUAAAGCACUAGCUCUGCCACAACUAUCAGGAAUAACAGGAUAACUGAAGCAGAGGACCUCACGUGGGCUGGGACAGGUGGAAAAGAUUCCAAGACAGCGCUGCACAAUCGCAAGCUCAUUGCAGGCAGGGAGCUCCGCCUAGCCCUCUUUGCAUCUCCUCUGAAAUGCUUACCUUGCAGGAGGUACUCUGAAAAUGCUUCCUGACUGAUGUCUGUAGGGGUGAGAUUUGGUGGGAGAAUAAUACAGCUAAUUGUGUAUGUGCGAAAGGGUUUGGUGUGAAACAGAGUGACUUGAUCUAGAUGAAUGAAAAGCCGUGUGGGGGAAUUGUGAGACAUCCUUAUUGCUAUGUAGGCUGCAGCAGAGGAUUGAAACAGCUGGUGGAUAGGGCAGCGCUCCAGGAUGUUGGCGUCCACGUGAGUUCCUGAGCUGAAGUCUGCAGAGCACCACCAUGACCCGGAAGGCAUACAGAACUUGGAGUGGAGGGAUCAGGAUUCAGAGCACGUUUCAGCGCUACACCGUAGGUGUAUUGCCUGGCUUCUCUGUCCCACCAUUUUAUCUUCCAUAAGCAGUUAUUAUUUACUUCUCGGGGACACAGCAAUAAGAUCACCACUCCUUGUCAACAUCGCAGAGGUGUGCGAGAGUGUG